ensembl:lncRNA
ACCAAGGGUUAACGCAACCCAGGCUCUCAGAGUUGCAGCAAGGAUUUCCUUCUCAUCACAUCUCAGCGUUCUGGAAGCAGGCUGACACCUUUUUAAGUUGGAAACAGUUUCAUUCGUUUUUCAGAUGGUAAAAGUGUGGGACCAGUUGCAUGGAUUCCAGAAGAGUUUAAGGAGUGCGGAUGUUUGAGAAUCCCUGCUGUCUAAAGGAUCCUUAGAAAGGGUGAUCCAUCCACCAAGAUCCCACAGAAAGCCUUGGGGUUGGAGGGAACAAACCCUGAUAAGUAUUAAAUUCCAUGGUGAACGUGGGAAAUGUGCCUUUUCACUGAACUCUUUGAAGAAGCCUAAGCUACACAAUGCUAUUAUUAUUUCGGGGGAUAAGGGACUUGGCUAAGAGAUUAAAUCAUGUGAGCAGUCUAUGCAGAGCUCAGGAACUGGGGCCAGGGUUCUGACUCCACUUUCUGCUGCCUACAGGAAGCCAGGCCUAGGUUCCUCACUUCCUGUGGGUUGCUUUACAGACUCUACCAUUGAAAUCAAUUCUUUAAACGUUUGAGUAUGAUAGAGACGGUACAUUCCAAAAAGGACAAAAUUUACUCUGCCAAGUAGUACCUAACUCAGUAGGAAUGAUAAAGAUUGUUCACUUGCCCUGGGAGUUCACGUUGAGGAACUAAGGAUAAGAUGUAGAGGAGAGAUCCGGGCCAGGGCCCUGCUGCAGUUUCCAUUUCAGGCCACUCAGGACCCCUUCUCUUCUCGCCUGUCCCCUUAAAAAUAUGUAAAUACACUUGUAAAUAGAGUUAAAAGAGAUUCAGAGCCAGGAGGUAAUGGGCUGGAGGGUUGGAGAGGGAGGGACGAGGUCGGGAAGGGCGGAAUGAAUCCUUUGAAGGGGAGGUGACCCAGAAGAAAGGCCUACCCUCUCUGGUAUCAUCCUUGGCAGGGAGGGGGGGUACCUCUUUCAUCCCCCCCCCCCGCACCCCGGGGGGACUUUCCCUGCUUUCCAACACUCAUUUACCUUCAUCAUUUGUCCCUGGCUCUUCCACCCUCUUCACCUCCCUCCGGCACCCUGGGGGGAACAGAGGCGAGCCUGCUAGGCUCUUAAGCGAGGUGGGGAGGGGAGGGGAUGCUGGAGCUGGGUAUCACCCCCCGGGAGGAAGCUGGCCAGGUCCUCACAGCCGCUGCGCCAGGAGCUUCUCAUUGGGACGUCCUCCUCCAGGACGGAUGGGUCUUUUGGGCGCUGGGCUCAAUGGAAAUGCUCUGUGGUUCAGAGCUCUCUCCUGCUCCAACAGGCAGGACACCAGAAGGCUAGGGUUGCUUUGUUGCUGCAGCAGCAGAGACUUGAAACGGUGGGCGCGUUAGGGCAGGUUUAUGAAAGCACAGGUACACUUGGAGCGAGAGCGGGGCCGCCGGGCACGCAGGGACUGGCCCGCUUCACAGGUGGGUUUUCCUUGUGUCCCCACACUAGGGACCUGAGUGGGGGCCUGCUUCUCCCACCCCGGCCCAGUGAUCCAUCCCGCCCUGGCCCACCGCGAGUGUAAGGGCUGAGUGUUGAUUGGUCUCUCAUGGGGCAUAUUUGAUCUUCCCAUUGGUCUCGGGCAAGAUACCGUAUUUGCAUGCGGGGCAGGUUAUAGGGACGUUCCUGUGUUCUUAUUGACCCAGCGAAGGCGUGAUGAGGAGGGCAUUACAAUGCCACCUGUAGGGCAAUGAUAAGGAUCUGGUAAUUCUUGUCUUGGCCAGAGGCUUUGAGUAGAGUCUCUUUGAGGGGGACUCGAAGUUAACAUUCUUCCUUCUUUCUCUUGGGGCAAGUCUUUGGCCCCUUUGAACACCCUGCUCAUGUCUAACUACUGUUUCCCUCUAUGGCAGAACCCAGAUNNNNNNNNNNNNNNNNNNNNNNNNNNNNNNNNNNNNNNNNNNNNNNNNNNNNNNNNNNNNNNNNNNNNNNNNNNNNNNNNNNNNNNNNNNNNNNNNNNNNNNNNNNNNNNNNNNNNNNNNNNNNNNNNNGGCGGUGUGGCCCCACGGGGCGCUGUGAUGGCUUUUUUCAACAUUGUCAGGUGUUGAUUGGUUGAUAUCCCCACUGUAUAUCAUUUGGAGACUUGUUUGUUGUAUUCUAGAAGAAACAAACUUAACCGGCCGAUGAAAAGUUGAGGCUAAAGAUCAGAAAGAGAAUUAUUGUAAUGAAGCCACUUAGUGUAGUCAUCUGUUUAACAUAAGUGUAACAGAUGCAGUCAGGAACAAUUGGAGAAGUGACGGUCUGAGUGUUGAUAGACAGAGGAGAUCCCACUUUUUCUAGAAUAAGUCUGAAAGCCAACCUGGACCUGGCACUUUGAGGGGACUUGUGAGGUCCAGCUUUCUCUGUAGCACAGGAGCCCGCCCUUGGCUGCAUGCCCUGCCCCUGCCUGUUACCCACCCUGCCACCAGGCUGCACAUAGAAGGCCUAUGAGCUCCAACUCUCAGCGGAUCACCCCACAUCCCUCCCACCCUCACCCUGCAGUGCUCCUGGCUGCCUCCCCCCCACCCUCCUGCCCCUCACUGGGUCUCCUACCAGCCAGCAUCCUUGCCCCCUACUCCCUACGCACUGCACCCUAGGUUCUCAGUGGCUUCUUGGCCAUCCAGAGGAAAUCAACCUUGACCAUUUGGUCAAGGACCCCAUCUUCCUGUGCUGCCUCCAUCACCUGGUUGCACUUCUAAUGGGCAGAUGAGCCCCGCCGCCCCACCCAGCCUUUGAUAAAAUAGCGUGAAAAUUCCUGUCUUCUUUGUCAGUGCAGGGACCAAAAGCCAAAACCAAAACAAAGUAACUGGAAGCAAAUGAAUGAUUGAAAGCGAGAAAAUUAGAAUAUCAGGAUGGAAUUUGAAGCACAUUCCUGUAGCAGCUGUCAACAUUUAAUGUGGAUUUAGAAGAAAAGAUUACAAUUUGAGGACCUUGGAAUACAGGAUGAGUCAAUGUUUUGAUAAAAUAUUUCCCAUUAAACCUUUCCCAUCAAUCUGCCCCACCGGCCCACCCUCCAAACACACCUAUAUCCCUAUUUCUUAGUACUUAACUUUUAAAACCAAUGUCUUUACAGUGAAAUUAAAUUGAAAAAUACUUCAGUUGGUUAAACUAGGUUUUCCCUAGUUCAUUUUUUAAGUUCUUUCUUCAAAAGCAUCUCCCUUUCCGUUCUUGGUGUCGGAAAUGGUUUUUUCAUUUAGAAAAGGAGAGAAAAGUAGAGACCAGAAGUCCCAUGUGAGGCUGAUGGGGGUGCACUUAGAGGGCCCAGCUCUUCAGUGGGGGAGCGCAUGGGGGUGGAGACCAAGGUCAGGUUUGCCUCCUCCCGCCACACCAGGUAGGGAGGGGAGCCCUCAUUCCGAUAACUGCACCUGCGCGUAUGGAGUGCGCACGGCCGGAGGGAGAUGGCAAGCGCCCAUCCAGAGACGCCUAUGCGUGGAGCAUGUAGAACCGUGGCCCAGCGAGGAUGUUCUGUAAACAUUCUACAUACCGUGCUGAUUUUUAGCCAUUUACUGCAGGAACCUGCUCAUAUUUUUGUACAUUAUUUAUUCAUUCGGAUUUAUUAAAUUCCUACUUUGUUCCAGCUUAGGUUGUGUGCCGAGCAUUUAAAGGUGAACAAGACUCAUUUCCUCCUUCAAGGACAUCCUUGUCUAGUACAGAGACAUAGACGUGAAAAUGGUUUUAAAUGUAUUUCGAUUUUUUUCUUUCCCACAGGUACCCUCCUGUGUUUAAUUGUGGAUGUGAUUCGUACAAGUUCUGCAGGAACACAGAGAGAUGGUGGUGAAGUUAGAUAUAGAACGUGGGAGCUCAGGGUGAAAAUUCUGGGCCAGAAAUAGAGGUUUGAAGGUCCUCACACAUAAGAAAAGGUUACCAUCAUCAGAGGAAUUGAGAUGACCCAGGAAGAAUAUGUGUAAUGACGAGAGAACAGAGUAAGGACGUAAUUUUAGAGAUUUUAAGUGCCUUGAAAGAUGAAUUUGAGGAGGGUACCAGUUUAUAGUCAGAGGUGACUCAUGUGGUUAGAUGCUACUAAACGUUUGUUUCAAAAGGUGGAAUUAUCAAGUUUGGUCAUUCCUUCCACUCGUGACUCAAGCAAGUCAUAAACAUCCAUCAUAUGUUCGACAUAGUGCCAGACCCCACAGCUAUCUGUGCCAUAAAACAAAGCCCUGCCCUCUUGGGACUUAUGUAUUUGCCAACAUAAAUCUAACCUGAAACAACUGAAAGAUUCUAUGAGAUGCCAGAAUGAGGGUCGCCAAAGCAGUAUAAGACACUGAACACAAUUAAGUGAAAACCACCAUGCAAUCAGGAAUGUCUUUAUGGAAAAAAAGCAUGAAACAAUGCCAUUUGCAGCAAUAUGGAUGGACCUAGAGAUUAUCAUACAAAGUGAAGUAAGUCAGACAGAGGAAGAUAAAUAUCAUAUGACAUCACUUAUAUGUGGAAUCUAAUAAAAAUGAUACAAAAGAACUUGUUUACAAAACAGGAACAGACUCAAAGAUUUCAAAAUCAAACUUACGGUUACCAAAGGGGAAAUGUGGGGGUAAGAGGAGAGAGAAAUUGGGAGUUUGGGAUUAACAUAUACCUAUCACUAUGUAUAAAAUAGAUAACCAACAAGGAUCUGCUGUAUAGCACAGGGAAAUCUACUCAGUAUUCUAUAAUAACCUAUAUGGGGAAAGACUCUGAGAAAGAAUGAAUGUAUGUAUAACGGUUUCACUUUGCUGUACACCUGAAACUAACACAACAUCGUACGCCAACUAGACUCCAAUA